ACUGAAGAGAAAGUGUGAAUGACAAACUGCCCGCAGUCAUACUGGGCCAUGCCUUUCUAUUCUAAACGCUAUUUCAAAGUCCUCUGAUCCUGCAAGAAUCUCUGCACACAAUGAACUUCACAUCAUACAAGAAAGGGCUCAAAAAUCAGCCCAGGUGCAACAUACACAACCAUGUUAGUCCAUAAUCAAGGAAGAGAGUCAGCUAGGAACAGCACAAUUAGCUAUUUCAAUGGACUCUCAUUUAAAAAGAUGACUUAUCCCAUGCAGCAUGACACAGAUUCUUCAGCCUCAUUUCUCUAUCAAUGGACAGCAAACGGUAUGCUGUAAAUUUGCACCAACUUCAAAGUGAUAAACUUGCAUUUAGCAGUACGUCCUCAGUUUGUGUAUUUGCCUUAUUGGCCCCUGCCCAAUUACAAGAAAAGUGAAUUUGUAUGUACAGCUGGAGAGUGAAGUGGAUGGUAAAAAGAAAUAAACAAACAAACAAAAAAUCUGGGGCAAAAUUAAAUACUUCAGUAUGUUCUGCAACAAAACACAUCUGAAGCAAAAUGGAAAAGCCUCCAGUUCAGAUACAUUACAAUUUCCAAAUAGUAAAAACUCUGAGAGAAAUCUUUGGAGUAUAUAAACAAAUUAAGUCAGCAGGUCUUUCCAAAUACAGAUGCUUUCAUUGACCCACAAAGAGCUCCCUGGAAGAUGUGCUUUCCAAAACCUUUUGUUCACAUUUUAAUUGCAUUGUUUUCAGUCUUGGUGCUAUUUUAAGGAUGACUUUUUUUCUUUUUUCUUUUUUUUAAACAGGUCUCUAUAAGAAAAAAAUACAGAUCUACCUCUCAAUGCAUUGUCAACCUCAACCAAAAGCCCUCAAAAUCCUACCUACGUACCUGAAGGAAAACUCAGAGUGCCAAAAGUUUGGAGUAAGGGGAAAAAAAACAACAACAAAAAAACCUAGUCAGAACAGUUAUUUUAGUGUUUUUAGUUAAUGCCACACCACACCAGUGGAUUACAUUUCACAAAAGACUUCUGCUUCAAGGCCAUUACACCUGUAAGUAAAGCCUGCUUUUAGUUUAACAAGCUACUCUUGUAUUACAUAACAUUUCACAUUUUUCAGGCAAACAUUAGCCUAGUGUACUGAACACGGGGACAUAACAAAGUUUAAGGAAGUCAAACCAAUUGCCAAAAUAUAAACUUGUUGCAUGUAAAUUUAAAAAGGACUUGACUUGCCACUCCGUGCCGUUCCUAACGAACUUGUGAACACAUUUUAAUGGACACUUCUCACAAUAAUGUGCUGUUCACGCAUCUGAGAUGUUAUUUUCAUUUGAGACUACAGCACUCUCCAAAGGAAACUUACUAUAUCAAGCUCACUUCAAUCAUUCUAGCUGAAUUAAUCACACUGGAUUAGAAUAAUUUUUAAUUGUGCUGAACAGUCUACUGAGUUUGGCGAUUAAAAUAAGAGUCCCAUAGUUAGUUGUUUGCUACUCGCACUGGAUUCCUUCUGCAGUUCAUAAUCUGCAUCAGCUCCAGUGAAGUACACAUACCAAUGGACAAUCAAAAUAGCUGAGAGAAGAAUCCCAUGGGUUUCUACAUACAUCCCCGAAGCUCUCUCUCAUGCAUCCUAGCUUUCUUGGCUUACCUCAAUUUCUAUCCCAAACUGACAUACAUAAGCAAAAUCAAAUUAGAGGACUACUUAUACAGAUAGCAAUAAUCUUAAUUUCUCCUCCAAUGUAAUCAAGUGUUGUUUUUAUUAUUUUUAUUUUUAAAUAGUUUAAAUUAUGAAGGGAGGGACUUCUACUUUUUAGAUGCAAUUUUAAAGUGGUCCAUAAUUUGUCAGGCUCCAUCAUCUCCUUCAUUUCUGAUAAUGAAGAAUUUCACAUAAUCUCUCCUUGUAUCCUGCUGGCAAAAAAAUUAUUUUUACGUACUUAAAGUGCAGCCGGGGACUGUUACAGGUACCUGACUAAAGGUAGCUGCAUUUUCAUCCAAACUCAAUCAUUUCCUGGUGAUUUGCAGAGUUCUGCCAGCUGAAAUUAGCCCACCAGGCAGUCUCAGAACCACCUGAUUUUUUGUUGCUUUGAAGAUUCGAAGGGGGAAAAAAGAAAUGGGGGGGGAGGGGCAGCUGGGAUGGAGAUAGGUCUGUGAAAACAACUGUGUGAUUUGAUUCAGGAAAUAAAGCAAGCUUGCACCUUUCAUAAACUUUGAAUAUGUGUACCCUACCUAUCUAAAACAGAUCUAUCAACGCUUUCUCCCCAAUCUUUUCUCCAUUGCUGGAGGCCCACUACUUUUGUUUAAGUGCACAUGAAAUUUGAACUACAACCUUCUUCCUUCGUAAUAUUAAGAAGGGUAAGACUAGAAGAAAAUUGAGAAAGAAAAAUUAAUGAAAUUCUACUAUUUCCAAACCACUGGAGAGCACACCUUAAUCAACUUGAUCACACAAAAAAUGAACAUGUCCAAGUCCAGUUCUGAAUUAAAAUCUACACCACUGCUAUACAGACUCCUUAAGUCUCUAUCCAUGGACUCCUGCAAUCUUGAUCAGACUGCCUGUCUGGCAAUAUGAACAUAAGUAUAUUAAAAUAUACAGUAAUACGUAUUUAUGUUUUAAUUUUGUUUAUAAUGAGUACGCUAGGCAUUUAAAAGAACACUCAUGCAGAACCAGACUCUCAGUCUUCACUUAAAAACACUUGUGUUGGUCCAUGUUUUUCUUUGGCCAAUAAUUCUUUUCUACAAGAGCUUGUAAAGGGUCAUGAUAGCACAGAUAAAGCUAUUUCUCAAAUAAUAGUACCAACAGGGGAAAAAAAAAAAAAAAAAAAGUAGCUUUUAAACGCAGGAAACCAUUUUCUGAUUAGGUUGAACAUUUUGAACAACUGGGAAACAUUCUUCCUUAGGUCAGUUUUCUCUAACCUUCCUGAGUGCACAAAGUUCAUGCAGGGCUAUAACAACAAACACUACGUUAAAUAAUGAGAGGUGCAAAAUGAAAAGUUGAAGUCUCCUUGCAUAAAUGACUGCCAGCUUCUGCAGGAUUUUAUUUUUACAUUAUAGUGACUUAAUGGGUUGUCUGAGACAUAGAACAUAGUCAUUGAACUUUUGUUAUGCCCAGAACAUGCCAGAGAAGGAGAACGGCAGCUUUGAAACCUCAAGAUUUCUCUGUGCUUGUUUAGAUACAAGAUGACAACUUUUGAAGUUAUCAAAGAAAAGAAAACAAGUCACUGUGACAAGUUCCAUCAUGACUGCAAUGGCUCUUUAAAAAACAAAUUAAUUUCAUUUAGAGUAAGUCUUCAGAUUGCCCUAACGAAAAACCUAACUAGCCUGACAUCUACACACAGUAGCCAUUUUUAUUUAAUAAGUGAGAUAUGUGUUUGAAAGAGAAGAAAUAAAAAAGGAUUUUAAUUUCAGUCCAAUGUCAGCAGAAGGCAAUGGAAAAAAUACCACACAGACAAGAAUUCCUUAAUUUUCUAGGUGUCCACAUUCAGAGCUAGGAGGACAGCUUCAUUUCUAGAAUAUGGCUCCUGAGAAAUCCCAAGUUUACAGUUAGUCAAAUCCUAAUCUCCUCACUCAGCAGCCCCAGGGAUUUUGACUACCAAAUCUGAAGAAUUUUAUAAGUUGGUUACCUUUUCUGUUUUAAUCUGAGAAAAACUAAACAAACAUAUUAACAAGAAGUCAGAUGCAAUCCGCUGGUGAAUGUCCCCACAGCAGUGAACAGGAAUCCCUUAUAGAGCAACGGUAGACUUUAUACUAUCCACACACACAUGAAAGAAAGCAUACUGCAGUUAAAAAAAAAAAAAAGAUCAAUUGUGUAAAAUUAACAUGGGGAUUUGAACAAAAUGACAAUGUAAGACUUAAAAAGUCAAACUCUGCAUCAAGACAGCAAAGUAUCAAAGUCCAGGGAGCUACACAAAAUUUCACACGAUUUUGGUAAGUUGAUCUUUUCCAUUUGGCCCCCUUCAACAUCAAAAAAUCUAAUGUCAACAGGCAGAUCCAUACAACUUGUAAACUCAUGUUAUCAAGUUCAACUGCCUCCACAUACAAGCUGAAAGCGGAUACAUGAAGCCCAAGGAUGCCAGUGAAACCGAUUUAGAUAAUCACAUACUGAAGAAACAUUAAUUAAGAUCUACUAUGUAUAAAAAGUGUUUGCAUUUCACCCAAGAUAGGAGAUGGUACUUGAAAUAAGUAGCUGCUUAUAAAAGGCUUCUGAUCCAUGCCACAUUCAUAGCAUUAGUACAUUACGCAGUAGUGAGAUAAAUCAGCAUGUUGGAAGUUUUAAAACUUGGCAGCCCUGAUAAAUUGAGUGGCUUUCCCCUUUAGCACAGCUUCAGCUGAGGGUGAAUCAUAGUCAAGAAUUCAGAAUGAAAAUACUUGAAUGUCAAGGUCUGUCUUUCCAGUCAUUAUGACUAUACCAGCUAAAACUGAAACAAACAAACAAACAACUUCCUUCACUUUUAAAAACACUAUUUUACCACUGAUUUAUUCUUAAUUCUUAACUCCCAAAAAAAGGCAAAAAUGAAAGAACAAUGAAGUCACAAUUCAUCAUUCUCUCUUCACAGUUCUUAUUCACCAACAAAAACCCUGUGCCUUUUCCUCAAAUGCAGAUGACCUGUACUCCAAACAGCUAUUAGAACCAAAUGGGAUUUUAAAAGUCAGAAAGAGAACAGUCUGAUCAGAGUCACUUCUCCAGCAUGCCCAGAAGACUGAGGCCCACAACCCACUUUCAGAAUUCAAAAGGCUGAACCAUUAGGGACAAGAAAGAACAUGAAAAAAGAUGCUGGAUCUUCCUUGCAUAUCCUUGAAGAAACAAAUUUCACCCAAAUGCAUAAGAAGCUUGUGGAAUUCAUUGACAGAACGUGUUAUUAGAGAAAAGAGGUAGCUUCUACUAACAGAAGAAAGGAGAAGAGGGGUGAAAAGCUCCAAGAACAGAAACUCCCCACAACAAGGAGACAGGAAGGAGUUAACAGAUCCCCACAUUAUGCAGUCAGUGGAUAGCUCACUGAGUGGUAAACCACUGAUCAACAAAGCAUCUGUCCUGUGCGCUUCAAUGCCUUCUCAAGAACUAAUGCUAUAAAGGGCAAAUACCUUGCUUAAACAUAACAGUGGUUAGAGACAAGACCUCACCUCCAUAGCAGCCUAAGAGACUUGGUGAAAGAAAACAAAAUGCACUGGAUUGAGGACUGCAAAGAAGCACCUAACACAUUAAAAUGAGAAACUUUGAAGAGAUUUUUAGCUUGGAUGGCACUAAGAAGUUACAGAUAAUUCAGAUCUCAAAUUAUGAGUUAGCUCCAAGGACUGUUUAAAAGGAAGAGUUACUUGUCCUUUUAUGUCAGCAAUAUAUUCCAUAAUUAGGAGGAUGUAUUUAUUAAAUGUUUACAGAUGUCCUCAGAUAAUACUUGCGAAGCAAUACUUCCUACUUAAUAAUAGAGUACCUCCUUCCCACACUGAACAACUGAAUGAGGUGAAUGUCCUCAGUGUUUGAAUCAAGCAAUGGGACUUUGCACAUAAGCUAAGCAGCAGCACUGAGCAAAGAAAACAGCACAGUACACUAAGGUUUCAUUUGGUAUAUCAUGAACAGAAACUACCAUCACAGGAACUCAAAACUAUACCAGGUGACAAGAAAGGCUGAUUAAGCUAUUUUGGCAACAGAAAGAAACUGGUUUAGCAAUGCAAAAUCAAGUGCGACGCUAAUUCCAAAAAGCAUCAGAAAUAAGUUUAGAAAAGGAAAAAAGCUCUUUAAGGCAGAAGGGGAGAGGGACAAAAUAUUUUAUGACCAAGCAAAGAAUAAACAUACACUGGAAUUUAGACAAAGGUUCUCAGUCAUAAGACUUUCCCAAGAAUUGAGGGCUGGAGCAGCAGAUCUAACAAAAUUCAGCAUUAAGCACUUCACUGAAAGGAAAAAAACAAAACAUCCAAAUCCCUGUAAGAGCACAAUAUAGUGUUUGUGACAAUAGGGAGGAUGCAGCACCCUUUAUGUGCUUGUGCUUUCCUCCCUUACCAAGCUCUAGACUACAAAUCCAAUCAGCUGUUGCUGUGGUUCAUUUGCUAAUGCACAUGUAUUUCCCCAGGCCUCAGUAACUUCACACGUACAUUCGUGUCUUACUGAGACCUGCUAGUUUGGCAGCAUUGUGUAUGACUCAUUUACCCAGGGAAACUUCCUGGUAUAGUUUAAAUGGUCUAGUUUGAAUGAUACAAUUCCUGACAUGGCUACUUCACCUGAAGCAAUGUGUGAAAAUACAAGGGAGGUAUAGAAUUAAGUUUUUUGCUUAUGAAUCAUCUUCCCAAACAUUUUCAACAGGAGCUGGAUUCCUCCUCUAGUCUUUCUCAUACCGACAGCAUAGAGACUGAAUGAUGGCAUCGUCACCAAACACCCUUGACUGUAGGCAGAAUCUCAUUACUUCAUUGCAUAGCUCAAUUGGAAAAAGUAUAUUUAGCUUAACACGCACAUACCUAUUUUUCAUUUGAAAGGCUUAUUAUUAAGCACCAGAAACAAAGAAAGUUUUAAAACCACAGCUCAACAUGAACAGUACUGCAUAAAUUACAGAUCAUAAUUGUCAGUUCUCCAUUUCCUGUCUGCAAUGGAAUAAGAAUCAAAAACUAUGUAUGUUGUCAGAAUGAGAGAAACAAUAACAUUUACCCUUAAAAAUAAUACUGUACAAUUUCAUAGAGCAGCUGCUGACUUUUUUUUUUUUUAAAUCAGCAGUAUUGUUGACAGGAAAAAGAGUGCUUUAUUUGGAUAUUUAGAUAGUGCACCUAUUUUUUUUUUAAUGUAACAAGAUUUUAUUUUAUUUUUUAAUUUAAGGUUAACAUAUGUUCUGCACCUACAGUUCAAAGAACAAAUGAUGCAUUCUUAGGAACCAGAGUCAGAACCGAACCUUUGUAUGACACUGUAAUACAGUAAUAUGAAAAUCAAGACUAGCGGAAGAAAUCACAGAGUACACAAGAAACCUCUGGGUGAUGGUAUGAUAAUUCUUGCUCUGAUGGCUAUCAUGGAGCUGCUUUCAGCCAGCAUGACUAAGAACACCCCUCAUGCUGCUCCAAAUUACACUACAUUCAUAGCUAGGAAAUACUGACUCAGAGGAGCAAAGGACAGUUUAGCCAUUUUCACUCUUCUGUCCUGCAACUUUCACUGGUACUUUGAGUUCUCACACUCUGUAGAAGAAAUAAACUGUUUCAUAUACAGCAGAAAAAUAGUAUUUGAUAUUUCUGAAAAGCCAAGCUAUCAAUGUGAUUCUAAUGUUCUCCAACAUCAAGACAUCAACCAUAUUCCUCUUUGUUUUCAAGGAUUCUUGGCAAGCAUUUUAACAUAUCUGAUAAGGCCUUCAUUUCUUUUGAAGGGUGGCUGGCUAGAGUACUUUUGAUAGUUAAGUUUACUUAGAAAAGAUUUCUAAGCUCAUAGCUCUUAAACUUACGAAAUUAAGGACAUUUGAUCAUAUAAAUGUUUCAAAUCAACUUCCUAAUAAUCCAUCAGGAUGAUAAAUUGAGGUGUAUCUGCUAGUCUGAUCUGUAUUAUUACAAAGCCUCUACAAUUACUUUAAGUGUUUCAUGAUCUGGCUUAAAUUACAAUUAUUCAGCACCACAGAUUGGGACUGUUCUGACACACCUGAACUUCUUCCAGCUCCAAUCACAGCACAGGGCAUAUGCAGAAGCUUGAAGCAUUCACGCUAAUAGUGUGAAUCUGUUCUGAGGAAAUCCUUCUAGGCUGCUUUAAUCUUUCUGUCUUUCUUUCAAGACAGAAUGUUGGAAUCAUUUAUCUUGGGGUUGUGCGUUUCUUUUUCUCUCAUUACAAAAACAAAACAAAAAACAGUAGCAGAGAUUUCUUUGGCUUCAAGGAUGUAAUGGCUCAAAUCAGCCAACUGAACUCUGUAAAGAUAGAAACUUCUGAAAACUCACAAGCAGUCUGAAGUUAUCAAAGUCUGCAGAGCUAAAAGAAGCUAUUUUGAACCAAACAGCACCAGUUCAUGGGAGUGCUUAUAAUUCACACAAGGAUGUACGAUUAUCAACUUCACAUUACAAAGUACUAAUUUCAGACCAAGGCUCAUGAGGGGAUUGGUGACUUGUAACUAUUAUUUGGUACUACAUCAACAAGUCAUCUAAGCAUUUAAAUCAGCUUAACAAUAUUCAAAGGAACACAUGUGAUGCUACAGUAGCUUUCUUUCCACUAAAUGAAAGUAAACAAUACACCCAGAAAGCUAACCAUAAACCAUAGAAGACAUGGUGUACUGUACAAGGGUCAGCAGCCUAAAUCUGAUAUAGCACCCACCCAAUCCAGAGCGUGCUGCUAGACUAAUAACACCAUAGAAGGUACAGAACCUCUUCAUCGCACAGCGCAUAUGCACAGUCUAACCUGGGUUGUGACCAUCUAUUGCCAUGAAAUGGCACCUGUCAGGUUGUAAUAAAGUAAAAAAAAUUGAAAGAAAAAGAAUCAAAGCAUUUAAAUUUUAAGUAUGGAACAUUAUUCUUUUUAUAUGUAUGUCUUUUCUCUAUAGCUAAUUUGUGGCUCUGAUGUGAGAAAAAGCCAGAAAACAGAGGAUGACAAUUGAUAAAUUAUUUGUCCACAGAAACAGCAUUGUCACAACACCCACUACCACUUAAGUGCCAGUACUCAGUCCUUAGGACAAGGCCUAGCACCUCUAACCAAAGUUCUGCGGGGGAUGCCUCCAAAUACUGGUACUGACCUACUGUUCACAGCUGAACAGUUUUUAAAGUGUAAAAUACAUGGAGGAAAGGGGAUGACAACGUUGAAAAUGCUACUUACUUUUGUCUGUCCUUGACUGAACUGUCAGUGGGCGCAGUGUCCCACUACCUAGCUCAUGUCAUACCAUUCCUGUGUCGUUUCUUACUAGAACCGACUCCUUCAUAUACUAAUCUCACUUCCUGCAAGCUCUUGUUGGUGCAGUUCCUGAUCAUAAAUCAAAAGACACAGCUGUAGCUGUCAUUACACUUGUUUGCAUUGCAGGGGUGCGGUAUGGGAGAGGUCAGCCAAACUCCUUCCUUCUCUCCGUAGCAGUUCCGUGAGGAAAAGUCAGGAAAUACUCUGCAGUUAUUGUACAGGAACAGCAAGAAAACAGAGAUACCAUUUACUUAAUGUUCAAAUAAACCUUUGGUAAUUGGAGUCGUCUAAAAAUAUAGAUCGGAAACUGCAAAAACAGGUGUCCAGCCUUCUUAAGAGCUUCCUGCUGGGUCCUAAUGUGAACUUUAGGACAUCUAAGUACCUUAAAAAAUCUGCUCUUUUAUAACUAAAACACCCAAACCUCACAGACAUCUGGCAAUAGGCAUAGUUUUUCUUAUAGACAUUUAUUAAGAAGCUACCAGGCGCUACUAUUGAUCCAAACUAGUCUACGUAUGCUUGAGCUCCAUCUACUGUCUGCCACUUUGUGUAUAAGCAUUAACCUAUUUUGUAAGGUCUCAUCCGUCUUUCUUUCAAUUUAUUCCUUGUACUGGAUAAAAUAAAGACGUGUAAAGGCAUGUUUCCUUUUUUUUUUUUUUUUAAUUUUUUGUUAGGAGUCCAUUCACAACUUCUGGCUCAUAUUUUCUUUCCUUUCAUGUUGAUUUACCUGUCAUUAGUCUAACUUCAAUUUUGCUGAACACUGUACAGAAGAUCUCUUGCACAUAAAAAUGACCCACUAAUACAGUUACUAACUGCAGAUUUCUGCAUUUGAAAGCCUGCCCACUCCAAUCAAAGUAAAGUGUUUGUCUGAGAUCUACUCCAAUUUCAGCUAUAACUCAAAGAUGAAAAAAUUCUUUUACUUCACCAAGGUAACUGGAAGAACCUCAAAAUGAACCAUUAAUCAGAACUCCCGGAUACCCUAAAAUACUUGCCUUUUAUAAAAAGAAAGAUUUUGUAUGCAUAACACUCGAAAAUUAAACCCAAAAGUCACAGGGUUCUGCUGGAGCUCAGUUUUUCAUAGCCUUUAGCAGCAUGUAUGAGUUUGAAAAGGGCUGUUUUCCCCCACAUUUCUGCAUGAUACACUUUCAUGAAAUUGAGGAAGCAAAUGCAGUAAGCUCAUGUCAACUCACACACUGAAAGACUUUACUAACUGAAAGACUUGAGGACAAGGAGGCAAAUGAUCUCAGAGUAUUCAACACAGUCACUAAAAUUCUAUUCCCUCAUUUAUGUAUGUGCUUAGUUUCUAACAGCACUUGAUGCAUAAAACCCUCAAUCAGCAAAUUUUGCUCCUUUGAGAGUAUAAAUUUGUAGAUGAUAUCACAACUGAAAUAUACUUCCAAUGCUCCUUCUUCUUCCCUCUCUGCAGGCAGAUUUGUAUCCAAACAGUAUGUUUCCAAAAAGAGAUAAGAAGUACAGCCACACGCAAUACACUACUCUUACCCUGAUUAGACACUUCACCUCCAGGUGCUUCAUCACUAAGAAUACCCGAAAUGUUUAUUAAUAAUUUGACUCCUACAAGCUAUGUACACACUCUCUCUUGCUGUUUAUGUAUUUGUAUAAGUUUGAAAAUCAACUUCAGUAACGUGUCACCAUAUAUGAGUUUAAUAUAAACAGUUUCACAUACCAAUAAGCCUUUGCUCUUAGUCCACCUACAGAUUAGAAAAAGGAUCCAAACACAUCAAUAAUCAUUGUUUUUAAAGCUUAGUUCCCACAGCAUAUUAAUGAAGACUCAGAAUGAAAAAGAAAUAUUCCACACAAAACCACAGCUCAGCAACUGUUAGGAGAAGAUCAACACAAAGGAUGGUAAACUGCAGUGAGGUCUCUAUUCCAUUAAGAGUUUAAGUAUCUCACAUGAAUAAAAUUGUGUUGCACUCACAGCUUUUAUAUAUAUAUUUAUACACACACACACACCUAUUUAUGUAUGUAUAUAUAAGUCUGCUGUAAGCUAUAAGAAUUCCAGCAGAUGCCCUCAUACACACAGCAAGACACCUACUUCUUCUCCUUGUCUUAACUGAUGCAGUGUUUGUACAGAAAUUGGAAAGAAAAAUCAAACUCAAUUUACAAUUAGAUUAACUUCUAUGCACUUUCAACUCAAAUCUUCAAAAAUCCUUUUCAUCAUGCAUGGGGUUGCUCUUAAGAAUAUAUUAAAUGUACACUGCAAGGGAGGUGGGACAAACUACGUGCAGCAAUACUGCCAUUCAGCACCUUUCUUUCUGAGACAUAGAUAGCACUUUUUUGGGAAAUGGGAUAGGUUUUUUUUUUUUUUUUUGUCAAAUAAGGCAGCGUAAGGGAUUGGGUGCAGUAUUACACACGAAAGCACUGCUUCUUCCAGAAAUGAUCUCUCACUUCAACAGUCACAACAUCUAAUAAAAUUACACAUCUGCACUAAAAAUGAACCACAAACCAAGGAGGACUAGAAAAUGACCACCCUUUUAUUCUCCUUUAUUUGAAAAGUAAAUAAACAUUAUCAUUCACUAUUAUUUCCUUUAAUGAUGUCAUCAUUUUGAAUUAAGAAUAUAAUUGAUAGCAAUCUAUAACUGUCAGCAUUUGAGGGCCAUAGAUAUUAAUAUUUUGGAUAGAUAUUAAUAUUAGAUAUUAAUAUUUUGCAAAUUAGAGCAAUGUACUUUUAUAGACAGUUUUCACCUCAAAGCUUGACUGCGAUCUCAGUGCAUGUAGUAGCUUUUGGUGACUCCACAACAGACAUUAUUUAACAGUUAAUGAGUGAUAAUAUUCAAGAACUAGAAUACAGACAGUAAGAGGGUCAAAUUUGUAACAAGAGGGUAGAUAUAAGACUGAUCCUUAGCAUAUAAUUAUAGAGAAUACGUGGUGUUGAAAGUAUCAACAUUUUAGAUUUAUUGAAGCCUAGUGAACAUUAUGAAAACUAUUUCACAUGCAAAAUAACGUAAACUCUAUUUCAGCAUCAGGGAAGGGAAAUGCAACAGCUACUGCUAAAAGACUUUCCAAUAAAGGCCAGAUUAAUUAGAAAGCCAUUAUCCACUUGAAUGAAUUCAUAUGAGGAUUAUCAUACACAAAUUAAAAAAAACCCUCUACUCUCGGUAUACUUAAGAAAAAAAGAAAGGGGAAAAAAAAAAAAUAAAAAUCGAGACCACCAGAUCUUAAAAG